UACGUAGGGGGCAAGCGUUGUCCGGAUUUAUUGGGCGUAAAGAGCGUGUAGGCGGCCAUACAGGUCCGUUGUGAAAACUCGAGGCUCAACCUCGAGACGCCGAUGGAAACCCCCUGGCUAGAGUCCGGAAGAGGAGAGUGGAAUUCCUGGUGUAGCGGUGAAAUGCGCAGAUAUCAGGAAGAACACCCGUGGCUAAGGCGGCUCUCUAGUACGGUACUGACGCUGAGACGCGAAAGCGUGGGGAGCGAACAGG
rnacentral:rRNA from 1 species